CAGUAGCCGCGGGAAAACGUAGGUGGCAAGCGUUGUCCGGAUUUAUUGGGCGUAAAGCGAGCGCAGGCGGUCAAUUAAGUCUGAUGUGAAAGCCCCCGGCUCAACCGGGGAGGGUCAUUGGAAACUGGUUGACUUGAGUGCAGAAGAGGAGAGUGGAAUUCCAUGUGUAGCGGUGAAAUGCGUAGAUAUAUGGAGGAACACCAGUGGCGAAGGCGACUCUCUGGUCUGUAACUGACGCUGAGGCUCGAAAGCGUGGGUAGCAAACAGGAUUAGAUACCCCUGUAGUCCCUGUCUCUUAUAA
rnacentral:rRNA from 1 species